rnacentral:tRNA from 1 species
CCUGGUGGCUCAGAUGGUAAAGAAUCUGUCUGCAAUGCAGAAGACCCAGGUUCAAUUCCUGGGUCAGGA